GAUGAACGCUGGCGGCGUGCCUAAUACAUGCAAGUCGAGCGAACAGACGAGGAGCUUGCUUCUCUGACGUUAGCGGCGGACGGGUGAGUAACACGUGGAUAACCUACCUAUAAGACUGGGAUAACUUCGGGAAACCGGAGCUAAUACCGUAUAAUAUUUUGAACCGCAUGGUUCAAUAGUGAAAGACGGUCUUGCUGUCACUUAUAGAUGGAUCCGCGCUGCAUUAGCUAGUUGUUAAGUUAACGGCUUUCCAAGGCAACGAUGCAUAGCCGACCUGAGAGGGGGAUCGGCGACCCUGGAGCUGAGACAGGGUCCAGACUCCUACGGGAGGCAGCAGUAGGGAAUCGUCCGCAAUGGGCGGAAGCCUGACGGAGCAACGCCGCGUGAGUGAUGAAGGUCUUCGGAUCGUAAAACUCUGUUAUUAGGGAAGAACAGAUGUGUAAGUAAAUGUGCACGUCUUGACGGUAACUAAUCAGAAAGCCACGGCUAACUACGUG
rnacentral:rRNA from 1 species